ensembl:snoRNA U3 Small nucleolar RNA U3
AACACUAUACUUUCAGGGACCAUUUCUAUAGUUCAUUACUAGAGAAGUUUCUCUGACUGUGUAGAGAACCUGAGGCCACAAAGAAGAGAUGUAGUUUCCUCCUGAGCAUGAAGCUGCCUCUGGGUGCUGCUUUCCUGUAGCUGUCUCCUGCCAUUCAUUGAUGUUCGAUCUUCUCUGCCUUUGGGAAAGUGGGAGGGAGGGGACACAGGAAAAGAGAG